rnacentral:misc_RNA from 1 species
GAUCCUGGUCGGGAUCAUGGUCAUCCAAGAUCUAUAAUCUCUAAUAGGAGCCCAACUGGCCGGGUUUUUCUCAGAAACAGUAGGAGAUUCGGUGUUGCUGAUCCUAGAGAAAUGACAGAGAAUGACGAGUUUUAUGAGGGACCCAUGCAUCCUGGCCGGUUUCAUGAGCUUGGUGACGAUGGGAAUGGUGAAGAGAGAAGGUUUGGUGAGAGACGACCUCCUGUUCGUGCAUUUAGGCCUCAUUUUAAUGGUGCUGAUGGUGAAAAUUUUCCUCUCGAUACAGAGGAUGGCCCUAGGUCCUUUAGGUUCUUCCCUGAAGAUGAUCCGAACUUUCAUGAACGAACUAAUUUGAGGGGAAGGGAAUUUGACAGACGGAUCAAGAACCGUCCAG